GAACUUAAGCAUAUCAAUAAGCGGAGGAAAAGAAACCAACAGGGAUUGCCUUAGUAACUGCGAGUGAAGCGGCAAAAGCUCAAAUUUGAAAUCUGGCGUCUUUGGCGUCCGAAUUGUAAUUUGGAGAGACAACUUCGGAGAUGGUGCUGUCCUAAGUUCCUUGGAACAGGAUGACAUAGAGGGUGAGAUCCCCGUGCCUGGAUGGCUGUCCAUCUUCAUGUGAAUUGCCUUCGAAGAGUCGAGUUGUUUGGGAAUGCAGCUCAAAAUGGGUGGUAAAUUUCAUCUAAAGCUAAAUAUUGGCGAGAGACCGAUAGCGCACAAGUAGAGUGAUCGAAAGAUGAAAAGCACUUUGAAAAGAGAGUUAAAAAGUACGUGAAAUUGUUGAAAGGGAAGCGCUUGAGACCAGACUCGAUUCGUGGUGAUCAGCUGUGCUUCUGUACGGUGCACUCGCCAUGGAUUGGGCCAGCAUCGGUUCUGACGGUGGGAUAAAAGGUUGAGGAAUGUGUCUUCCUUCGGGGAGUGUUAUAGCCUCACUCACAAUGCCACCAGCUGGGACCGAGGACCGCGCUUCGGCUAGGAUGCUGGCGUAAUGGUCUUAAGCGACCCGUCUUGAAACACGGACCAAGGAGUCUAACAUCUAUGCGAGUGUUCGGGUGGAAAACCCUUGCGCGUAAUGAAAGUGAACGGAGGUGGGAACCCGCAAGGGUGCACCAUCGACCGAUCCCGAUGUCUUCGGAAGGAUUUGAGUAAGAGCAUAGCUGUUGGGACCCGAAA
rnacentral:rRNA from 1 species